rfam:Parcubacteria bacterium GW2011_GWA2_33_14 TR31_C0013, whole genome shotgun sequence.
GCCUCCGUGGUGAAAUGGAUAUCACGACAGGCUUCGAACCUGUUAUUGGGAGUUCGAAUCUCUCCGGAGGCA